rnacentral:lncRNA from 1 species
AAUGCCGCCCCACUACACUUCUACUGCCGUCUCUUCUCUUUUGCUACGCCUGAGCAACCUAUCUGCUAAGUUUGCUCGUCUUCAGAUUUUGAUUGUUGUUGGUAACUAGUUUUCCUCUUGUUCUUUAUUUAGUUUUUCUGUAUUCCCCCUAAUUUUAUAUUUUUCGAAUAAUAUUAGGUGACUAGAUGAAUAGAGUUUAUGAAAAUCAGCUCGUAUAGUUGAUUUCUAUCUUUAGAUAAAAUAUAUGCAAACUGAAUUAUAUUUGUGACAAUAAUGUAAAAAAAUGGCUUCACAAAAGAGUCAGCAGCAAGUACCAGUUAAUGGUAACCCGUCUGCCGCAUGAAGCCUAAAUAAACCAAUUUCCAAAAUGAAGACCCAUGAGAAUCAUUGUUUUCUCAUGACACAAUAUUUUUUGGUAUAUACUAAAUAUAUAUUCACAAUUUCUAUAUAAUUUUGGUUGUUGGAGGAGAGGCAGGCAUUUCUCAGACAACGGGGGUUUAUUUAAUUCUAUAAAAAACUACCUUUUGCACGGUGCCUAUAAAAUGCUGCUUAUCACGAUUGAAGGGUGUUCUGCUUUUGGCUAAGCAUUCCUUCAAAUUAAUUGUAGCCAAAUUAUUUAAUUUUCCUCUAUUUAUUUGGCGAUGAUGAGUUGCUAACACGUAAGAAGAUCUAAUUUAAGCUUGGAUCAGCUUGGAUCUUCAAUGAAAUUCACUUGUUACGCUUGGCUUCUGAGCUUUAUGGAUUAAAUUGUAAUUUUUUUAAAGUAUAAGUUACAAAACCUGAUGAUAAAAGCAGGGAUCAAUUGCCUUAUUUGUGAAUUGGUCUCUCUAUUAAAAUUGUUAUUUUUUAAAAAUCCGAGUUACAAAACCUGAUGAUAAAAGCAGGGAUCAAUUGCCUUGAUUUGUGAAUUGGUCUCUCGUAAACGUCAGGGAAAUAAUAAUUGCAUUGUUAUUGGGUGAACCACUUGACCCCUCAUGAUGGAAUGGUUCAGUAAACGAUGAUACAUAUUUUUCUGUUAGAAACAUUUGCAUUGAGUAAUAAUUUUAGGAUGACAGAACCCUCGGUGGCAAUUGAUCUGAGUUUUGGGAUUUGCUUCAUUGCAAGGUCUCAAGUUCAAAACCACAGGGUGCAAAUAAUUUGUAAGGGCCAUCUGACUGGCUACAACAUGAGUUAACUGUGGUGCAUUGUGGGAAACUCCCUGCGGAGGGCCUGUGCACUCCCCGGAUUAGUCGAGUCUCCCAGAGAUUCCAACCCCCGGUGCAAAUAAAAAAAUUAGGAUGAUAGUGUACAGCAAUUUCCAGUUUUUUCUGAAUUGGUGAAGUCUUAAAUUUCAUAUUGAUGCGUACAUCAGUCAAUAUUUUGGCAUUUGUCUCCCCCUUAUGUUGUCCUCCUGGUGUGAGAUAUGAAUUUCAAUUCCAAAUGUGAUUACUUGCUUAAAGUUUCCCUACAUAUUCUGAAGAAUAUACUAAUUGGCUUUGAGAUGUGAUUUUUC